UACGUAGGGUGCGAGCGUUAAUCGGAAUUACUGGGCGUAAAGGGUGCGCAGGCGGCUCCGCAUGUCGGGCGUGAAAGCCCCGGGCUUAACCCGGGAAUGGCCGUCCGAAACUAUGGAGCUGGAGUGUGGCAGAGGGAGGUGGAAUUCCACGUGUAGCGGUGAAAUGCGUAGAGAUGUGGAGGAACACCAAUGGCGAAGGCAGCCUUCUGGGCCAACACUGACGCUCAUGCACGAAAGCGUGGGGAGCAAACAGG
rnacentral:rRNA from 1 species